UGUUAUGGCGGCCGUGCGUGGGAGACCGAAAGGUCUGCCGGGUUCCUAGAGUCCCGGUCUGCUAACCCGCGCACGGCUGCCACCCAA
rnacentral:antisense_RNA from 1 species